AGAAGCGAACCUGCGAAGGCAAGCGGAUCUCUUAAAGCCGUCUCAGUUCGGACUGUAGGCUGCAACUCGCCUACACGAAGCUGGAAUCGCUAGUAAUCGCGGAUCAGCACGCCGCGGUGAAUACGUUCCCGGGCCUUGUACACACCGCCCGUCACACCAUGAGAGUCUGUAACACCCAAAGCCGGUGGGAUAACCUUUAUAGGAGUCAGCCGUCUAAGGUAGGACAGAUGAUUAGGGUGAAGUCGUAACAAGGUAAC
rnacentral:rRNA from 1 species